rnacentral:sRNA from 1 species
GGAUUCCCCUAGUAACUGCGAGUGAAGAGGGAAAAGCUCAAAUUUAAAAUCUGGCAGUCUCUGAUUGUCCGAGUUGUAAUUUAGAGAAGUGUUACCCGUGUUGGGCCGUGUAUAAGUCUCCUGGAAUGGAGCGUCAUAGAGGGUGAGAAUCCCGUCUUUGACACGGACUUCCGAUACAUUGUGGUAUGCUCUCGAAGAGUCGAGUUGUUUGGGAAUGCAGCUCUAAAUGGGUGGUAAAUUCCAUCUAAAGCUAAAUAUUGGGGAGAGACCGAUAGCGAACAAGUACCGUGAGGGAAAGAUGAAAAGAACUUUGGAAAGAGAGUUAAACAGUACGUGAAAUUGCUGAAAGGGAAACGCUUGAAGUCAGUCGCGUUAGUUUGGGAUCAGCCUUCCUUUUGGUUGGUGUACUUCCUUACUGAUGGGUCAGCAUCAGUUUUGAUCAGUGGAUAAAAGCUUGGGGAAUGUGGCAUCUUCGGAUGUGUUAUAGCCUCUUGUUGUAUACAUUGAUUGGGACUGAGGAACUCAGCACGCCGCAAGGCCGGGUUUUUAACCACGUACGUGCUUAGGAUGCUGGCAUAAUGGCUUUAAUCGACCCG